GCCUAGCCGUAACACGCAAUUAAACUACCAAUUGCCCGCCAAACAACUACGAGUUACACUUAAAACUUAAAAGACUUGACGGUACUUCACCACACCCUAGAGGAGCCUGUCCAAUAACCGACGACCCGCGAUUAACCCAACCCCCUCUUGCCCACAGUCUAUAUACCGCCGUCGCCAGCCUACCUUGUAAAAGAAAUAAAGUAGGCCAAACAGUAUUUACACUAAAACGACAGGUCGAGGUGUAACUCAUGAGGAGGACCAAGAUGGGCUACACUCUCACGCCCGAGAAUACGGACAACACUAUGAAAUUAGCCUUUAAAGAUGGAUUUAGCAGUAAGAUAGAAAUAAAACGCCUAACUGAACAUAGCGCAAUGAAGUGCGUACACACCGCCCGUCAUCCCUGCCACCAC
rnacentral:rRNA from 1 species